AACGAACGCUGGCGGCAGGUCUUAGGCAUGCAAGUCGAACGGGUGUAGUAAUACACCAGUGGCGAACGAGUGAGUAACGCGUGGGAAUCUGCCCAUCUCUGGGGAAUAACGUUUGGAAACGAACGCUAAUACCGCAUACGCCCGCAAGGGGAAAGAUUUAUCGGAGAUGGAUGAGCCCGCGUUGGAUUAGCUAGUUGGUGGGGUAAUGGCCUACCAAGGCGACGAUCCAUAGCUGGUCUGAGAGGAUGAUCAGCCACACUGGGACUGAGACACGGCCCAGACUCCUACGGGAGGCAGCAGUGGGGAAUAUUGGACAAUGGGCGAAAGCCUGAUCCAGCCAUGCCGCGUGAGUGAUGAAGGCCCUAGGGUUGUAAAGCUCUUUCAACGGUGAAGAUAAUGACGGUAACCGUAGAAGAAGCCCCGGCUAACUUCGUGCCAGCCGCCGCGGUAA
rnacentral:rRNA from 1 species